ACUGCAGAUGCAAAACUCAGGCCACUUCUAGUGGUUUCUGUGGCAAGGCAAUAACUGAUCCUGUUUCUUCCGCUUUAAUCUUGGUUGCUGCAUUGAAAACAUUGCAGAGGCCGUAAACUCAGCGGAACAGAAAAAGCCUCGGCAAGAAUUUGUUUGUCGUAAAUAUCAAGAAAGAUAAUUAAGGCCAUGGCUUACAGACCAACAACAAAAUGAAACAGCGACUGUUAUCCGUCCACUUACCCCAGAGCUAUGUGUAUAUUUACUUCUGAAUCAGGUGCCACAUUGACGACUUCUUUAGUAAUCUGAAAGAA
rfam:Drosophila ficusphila unplaced genomic scaffold scf7180000453305, whole genome shotgun sequence